GGGCGAAUGGUCUAGGGGUAUGAUACUCCCUUCGCAUUCUUCGGAGUUCUUCUCCGGACAUAUGAGUAUGGGAGGGGUCCGGGGUUCAAUUCCCCGUUCGUCCA